rnacentral:rRNA from 1 species
UACGUCGGGUGCGAGCGUGAAUCGGCCUUACUGGGCGUAAAGCGUGCGCAGGCGGUUAUAUAAGACAGAUGUGAAAUCCCCGGGCUCAACCUGGGCACUGCAUUUGUGACUGUAUAGCUAGAGUACGGUAGAGGGGGAUGGAAUUCCGCGUGUAGCAGUGAAAUGCGUAGAUAUGCGGAGGAACACCGAUGGCGAAGGCAAUCCCCUGGACCUGUACUGACGCUCAUGCACGAAAGCGUGGGGAGCAAACAGGAGUAGAUACCCGGGUGUCC